CCCAGAGUAACGCCGCCCAAACCACCGUCUGCCGCCCACCAUAAAUCGCCCAAGGUAGCGGCCAACGGCCGAAUACCACCAAAAUUACACCCUGGAAUCUCCUCCACCUCCUCCACCUCCUUAUCCCAAAUCCCCUAUCCAUUCAACUCGAAUCCCUUUGAAACUCUUCGAAUUUCAGAUAAAAGAAGCAGAACCAUAGCACCACCCAAUUUUCUUUGGUGGCGGCGCCACCUCCAAACCCCACCAGAAUAAUACCACAUAACCACACUUACCCCCCAUACCAGUUCCGUCAUUGUUUUCCCUCGAAUCACCCUAAUCCCUUCGAAUCUUGAAUCAAAGAUUGAAACCUUGAAAACCUAAAAGUGAAUUUUGUGCAAAGAACAAGUUAUCAUGAAACAAUGAUGACCGCUGGUUCUUGACAAAGAACAAUCUAUCAACAUUAUUUUGGGAUAAAUUGGAUGUCUGGUGUUGGUGUCGAAUUUAGUCGGUGAGUUUUCUUUAUCUUUCUGUCUGUUUUUGUUUUAUCUUACCUAUUAUUCCUCUUCUCUUCUUCUCUUUUUCUUUUGUUUAAAUCUUCACUUUAAUUGAAACUCGACCAAGUUUCUGGGCCUAGAUUGAUUUGUGUUCGGUUGUUCCACGUGUUCCCUUUUCACGUCUUUAAAGCUUUCUCGGAUUCCUGGUCUACUUAGUGUUUUUAGUGGAACGUUUAAAUCUCUGAUUUCGCCUUUGAUUUUAGUCUCAUUAGUUUAGUUUAAUUAGGUUUAUUUUGAUUUAAUAACCUAGUUUAUUCUAUGCCCAUUUGUGUUCAUUAAUCAGUCAGUUGAUUCAGAUUUUAAUUGUUAAAAUCAUUUCAGUGUUUGUAUUUUUCUGUUUCUUACAGAAUGUAGUUGGAUUAGCUUCUUAUUUGGGCUUUAGGUCGUUUCUAACCUAUUUUCAAAAAUGAAAGGCAGCCCGUUCAAUUUCGGUGUAAGCUGUUGGGUCAAUUUAACCCAUUUGGGUCCCUGAAGUAAAAAGUAGGGGUUCAAGGGGUAGUCUAGGAAUUCUAGGUGAGGGAAUCUUUAAUAAUUGAAUUGGAAGUUGCCUAGAAGGUGGGGGUUGGGACUAUGUUGACAAUUGAUUUUUAAAGCUAAGGGUAUUUGAGCAAAAAUGGAAAGAUCAAAAGGUUUAAAGUGCAAUAGCUAAAUUCAUUUUAUGCUGCCCUAACACCUUGCCUAUAAAGGCAUCCUUUUCUUCAAGCUCAAGGCAGAAAGGAGAGAGAAGAAAAAUCCUAAAAAAGCUAAAACAGCUAAGUCUUGAGAAUUCUGAAAUAAUACUGAAUUUUCCUGCAAUUCAUAGUUGAAAACUGCUCAAAAUUCUGCUUGAUUUUUGGUUUUCUGAUCCUCAUUGUUUAAUUUAAAACAACUGAAAACAUCAAAGUCUUGCAUCUGAGUAAAAUGGCUCGAAUUUGGGUUUAAGAGUUUGGGUUUGCAUCAUUUGGAUUCUGUUUUCUGAAGUCUGGAUUUUGGUUUGCUGUGUAUCACUGUUCCAUUGCUUGCUUUGAGCUGGUUUUGCUUAUUUGGUUUCCUGUUUCUGGGUCACUGUUGUUUGAUGCUCUCUCACCCUCUUGGCUUUUUCUUUGGCAUUUUCCAGGUAUAUUUUGGAACCAUGGACUUCACUUAAUUGUAAUAUGAAGUUGGGACUUGGAAAUAUGAAAAGCUGAUGUUAUUUGUUGUCUAACCUUAUUUCUUCUCCCUUCAAUCUCAUGUAUAGCUAUAAUAUUUAGCCAUUGAAAUGUUUUGAUUAGUACAUUGAUCAUGAAAAGAUGUCAUACCAUGAGAUUGAAGCUUUAAACGUUCAGAUGCUUCUACUUAAGUUAUCAGUUUUGUUUGAAAGUGACUAUAAGUGAAAGAAAUGUUUAGGGUUGUAUUUUCAGUAACAUCUAGGCCACUGUUGAAUUAUUUCCUGUUGUUUGACUGUCAUGUGGUUAGGCUGAAGUGUUUAAAUCAUGGUUGUUUAAUGUC
rnacentral:lncRNA from 1 species